rnacentral:rRNA from 1 species
UACGUAGGGUGCAAGCGUUAAUCGGAAUUACUGGGCGUAAAGCGUGCGCAGGCGGUGAUGUAAGACAGAUGUGAAAUCCCCGGGCUCAACCUGGGAACUGCAUUUGUGACUGCAUCGCUAGAGUACGGCAGAGGGGGAUGGAAUUCCGCGUGUAGCAGUGAAAUGCGUAGAUAUGCGGAGGAACACCGAUGCGAAGGCAAUCCCCUGGGCCUGUACUGACGCUCAUGCACGAAAGCGUGGGGA